CAGACAUACCCGUAGUGGAUUCCUUAUCGCUACCAACUGGGUUAUGACUGCUGCCCACUGCAUUGAGAAAGUCAACACAAACACACUGCUGAUAUUGACCAGCACAAAACUUUCAUAACAAAUAUCAGUUAAGAAAAACAAGCAUUGUGUUUGACCAAUGUGAGAAAUGAUUAGGUCUAUAGCUUUUCCUUAUUCCUCCAUCCAGUCUGAACCUGAAUGAUCAUGUGCUUGUGGGCAAGCACAACCCGGCAGAGGCUGAGCACAGCUCUAAGGCCUACCUCCAGUCAGGAAAGGAAUCCUCGUGCACAGACACCAUAACCCUGUCCUGCUGUCAGUGGGCCAGAGGCCCCACCCCCGACACCCUGCAGUAAGCCCUGAUGCCCAUGGUAACCUAACAUAGCAGGCCCUGAUGCCCAUGGUAACCUAACAUAGCAGGCCCUGAUGCCCAUGGUAACCUAACAUAGCAGGCCCUGAUGCCCAUGGUAACCUAACAUAGCAGGCCCUGAUGCCCAUGGUAACCUAACAUAGCAGGCCCUGAUGCCCAUGGUAACCUAACAUAGCAGGCCCUGAUGCCCAUGGUAACCUAACAUAGCAGGCCCUGAUGCCCAUGGUAACCUAACAUAGCAGGCCCUGAUGCCCAUGGUAACCUAACAUAGCAGGCCCUGAUGCCCAUGGUAACCUAACAUAGCAGGCCCUGAUGCCCAUGGUAACCUAACAUAGCAGGCCCUGAUGCCCAUGGUAACCUAACAUAGCAGGCCCUGAUGCCCAUGGUAACCUAACAUAGCAGGCCCUGAUGCCCAUGGUAACCUAACAUAGCAGGCCCUGAUGCCCAUGGUAACCUAACAUAGCAGGCCCUGAUGCCCAUGGUAACCUAACAUAGCAGGCCCUGAUGCCCAUGUUAACCUAACAGAGCAGUCCCUGAUGCCUGACUGAGGGCUUGUAGGCCUGUUGUAAGGCAGGUCCUCACCAGACAUCACCGCCAACAGGGUCGCCUACGGGCACAAACUUACCGUUGUUGGACCAGACAGGACUGGGAAAAAGUGCUCUUCACUGACGAGUCGCGGUUUUGUCUCACCAGGGGUGAUGGUCGGAUUUGCGUUUAUCGUCGAAGGAAUGAUCGAUUUGGAGGUGGAGGGUCCAUCAUGGUCUGGGACGGUGUGUCACAGCAUCAUCGGACUGAGCUUGUUGUCAUUGCAGGCAAUCUCAACGUUGUGCGUUACAGGGAAGGCAUCCUCCUCCCUCAUGUGGUACCCUUCCAUGACCCUCCAGCAUGACAAUGCCACCAGCCAUACUGCUUGUUCUGUGCGUGAUUUUCUGCAAGACAGAAAUGUCAGUGUUCUGCCAUGUCCAGCGAAGAGCCCGGAUCUUAAUCACAUUAAGCACGUCUGGGACCUGUUGGAUCGGAGGGUAAGGGCUAGGGCCAUUCCCCCCAGAAAUGUCCGGAAACUUGCAGGUGCCUUGGUGGAAGAGAGGGGUAACAUCUCACCACAAGAACUGGCAAAUCUGGUGCAGUCCAUGAGGAGGAGAUGCACUGCAGUACUUAAUGCAGCUGGUGACCACACCAGAUACUGACUGUUACUUUUUAUUUUGACCCCCCCUUUGUUCAGGGACACAUUAUUCCAUUUCUGUUAGUCACAUGUCUGUGGAACUUGUUCAGUUUAUGUCUCAGUUGUUGAAUCUUGUUAUGUUCAUACACAUAUUUACAUAUGUUAAGUUUGCUGAAAAUGAAUGCAGUUGACAGUGAGAGGACUUUUCUUUAUAUACUGUGAAACAGGACAUCCACACAACACUACUCUAUCUGAAACCAACAGUCUUGAUUGUUUUUUAAUUUUAUUUACCUAUGCAAGUCAGUUAAGAACUUAUUCUAAUUUACAAUGACUGCCUACCCCGGCCAAACCCUAAUCUGGACAACACUGGGCUAAUUGUGCGCCGCCCUAUGGGACUCCCAAAAACGUCCGGUUGUGAUACAGCCUGGAAUCAACCCAGGGUCUGUAGUGACGCCUCUAGCACUGAGAUGCAGUGACUUAGGGGGCCCCAGUGAUGGAUCAGCAACACCUGUUUCCUCUUCAUAUCCACACUGGCUACUACAGCUGAAAUGUAUGAGGAACAGGUCACAACCAGUUGUAGUCAUUUAGCAUUAAGCUAUAAUGGAGUGUGUACUGUAUGUCACAUUUCUGAAAAAGGAGAGGAGCUCCAAAGUAGCACUAACCUAGCAGCCUCUGGCACAGGAAGUGUGUAUGUGUAUGGAGCAGCAGCAGAGCCCGUUUCAGGUUUCUUUCUGCCAGUUCCACAUCACAAACCCAGGAGUUCCAAAGAAACAUCAAUCACACAGACUUGUCUAAAAGCUGUUUUCAUUUGGAGUAUCUGAGGUGUGUCUCUUUGUGAUGUGGUGUUUAACCAGGAAGUUAGUUUAAGUUCCUUUAAAGUACAGAGAUCAUGGAUAUAGUUUCUCUAUCCUGAGGGUUUAGUUGGUGGACGAUACUUGGAUGGGGGGUGGGAACUGUUUACUAGUGUGGUAUCGUUUUUUUCUAGCAGUCAUUUCUCCCUCCCAAUGUAAAAAUAAAACUUUUGUUUUAACCCUU